AUCCCAUGAUGAGGACAGGGUAGGAUGCACUCUUGGAGCCUUUCCCAAGCUUUAGGGAUUGACUCCAUCCCUAUCUGCUGGAAACUAGAAAUUUUUCCGCAGGGCGU